rnacentral:rRNA from 1 species
GGUUUCGAUCAUACCAGCACUAAUGCACCGAAUCCCAUCAGAACUCCGCAGUUAAGCGUGCUUGGGCUAGUGUAGUACUAGGAUGGGUGACCCCCUGGGAAGUCCUCGUGUUGCAACCC